GUUGUAUGGUUAAGUGACUAAGCGUACACGGUGGAUGCCUUGGCAGUCAGAGGCGAUGAAAGACGUAGUAACUUGCGAUAAGCCCAGAUUAGGUAGUAACAACCAUUUGAGUCUGGGAUUUCUGAAUGGGGAAACCCACUUACAUAAGUAAGUAUCAUUAACUGAAUACAUAGGUUAAUGAGGCGAACCGGGGGAACUGAAACAUCUAAGUACCCCGAGGAAAAGAAAUCAACCGAGAUUCCGAAAGUAGCGGCGAGCGAAAUUGGACUAGCCCUUAAGCUUUACACGCGUUAGACGAACGGUCUGGAAAGUCCGACGAUACAGGGUGAUAGUCCCGUAGUUGACGACGUGUGUUCAGUGAAAUCGAGUAGGGCGGGACACGUGAUAUCCUGUCUGAAUAUGGGGGGACCAUCCUCCAAGGCUAAAUACUACUGACUGACCGAUAGUGAACCAGUACCGUGAGGGAAAGGCGAAAAGAACCCCUGUGAGGGGAGUGAAAUAGAACCUGAAACCGUGUACGUACAAGCAGUAGGAGCAGGCUUUGUCCUGUGACUGCGUACCUUUUGUAUAAUGGGUCAGCGACUUAUAUUCAGUGGCAAGGUUAACCAUCUAGGGGAGCCGUAGGGAAACCGAGUCUUAACUGGGCGUUCAGUCUCUGGAUAUAGACCCGAAACCAGGUGAUCUAGCCAUGGGCAGGUUGAAGGUUGAGUAACAUCAACUGGAGGACCGAACCGACUAAUGUUGAAAAAUUAGCGGAUGACUUGUGGCUAGGGGUGAAAGGCCAAUCAAACCUGGAGAUAGCUGGUUCUCCCCGAAAGCUAUUUAGGUAGCGCCUCGGACGAAUACUACUGGGGGUAGAGCACUGUUAAGGCUAGGGGGUCAUCCCGACUUACCAACCCUUUGCAAACUCCGAAUACCAGUAAGUACUAUCCGGGAGACACACGGCGGGUGCUAACGUCCGUCGUGGAGAGGGAAACAACCCAGACCGCCAGCUAAGGUCCCAAAUUACUACUAAGUGGGAAACGAUGUGGGAAGGCUCAGACAGCCAGGAUGUUGGCUUAGAAGCAGCCAUCAUUUAAAGAAAGCGUAAUAGCUCACUGGUCGAGUCGGCCUGCGCGGAAGAUGUAACGGGGCUAAGUAGUAAACCGAAGCUGCGGCAAUGUGCUUUUGCACAUUGGGUAGGGGAGCGUUCUGUAAGCGGUUGAAGGUGUGUGGUAACGCAUGCUGGACGUAUCAGAAGUGCGAAUGCUGACAUGAGUAACGAUAAAGGGGGUGAAAAACCUCCUCGCCGGAAGACCAAGGGUUCCUGUCCAACGUUAAUCGGGGCAGGGUAAGUCGACCCCUAAGGCGAGGCCGAAAGGCGUAGUCGAUGGGAAACGGGUUAAUAUUCCCGUACUUCUUACAAUUGCGAUGGGGGGACGGAGAAGGCUAGGUGGGCCUGGCGACGGUUGUCCAGGUUCAAGUGCGUAGGCUUAAGAGUUAGGUAAAUCCGGCUCUUUUUAAGGCUGAGACACGACGUCGAGCACCUACGGGUGUGAAGUCAUUGAUGCCAUGCUUCCAGGAAAAGCCUCUAAGCUUCAGAUUGUAAGGAAUCGUACCCCAAACCGACACAGGUGGUCGGGUAGAGAAUACCAAGGCGCUUGAGAGAACUCGGGUGAAGGAACUAGGCAAAAUGGUACCGUAACUUCGGGAGAAGGUACGCUCUUGAUGGUGAAGUCCCUCGCGGAUGGAGCUGACGAGAGUCGCAGAUACCAGGUGGCUGCAACUGUUUAUUAAAAACACAGCACUGUGCAAAAUCGUAAGAUGACGUAUACGGUGUGACGCCUGCCCGGUGCCGGAAGGUUAAUUGAUGGGGUUAGACUUCGGUCGAAGCUCUUGAUCGAAGCCCCGGUAAACGGCGGCCGUAACUAUAACGGUCCUAAGGUAGCGAAAUUCCUUGUCGGGUAAGUUCCGACCUGCACGAAUGGCGUAAUGAUGGCCACGCUGUCUCCACCCGAGACUCAGUGAAAUUGAAAUCGCUGUGAAGAUGCAGUGUACCCGCGGCUAGACGGAAAGACCCCGUGAACCUUUACUACAGCUUGGCACUGAACAUUGACCCUACAUGUGUAGGAUAGGUGGGAGGCUUUGAAGCACGUACGCCAGUAUGUGUGGAGCCGUCCUUGAAAUACCACCCUUGUAGUGUUGAUGUUCUAACGUUGACCCCUAAUCGGGGUUGCGGACAGUGCCUGGUGGGUAGUUUGACUGGGGCGGUCUCCUCCCAAAGAGUAACGGAGGAGCACGAAGGUGGGCUAAUCACGGUUGGACAUCGUGAGGUUAGUGCAAUGGCAUAAGCCCGCUUGACUGCGAGAAUGACAAUUCGAGCAGGUGCGAAAGCAGGUCAUAGUGAUCCGGUGGUUCUGAAUGGAAGGGCCAUCGCUCAACGGAUAAAAGGUACUCCGGGGAUAACAGGCUGAUACCGCCCAAGAGUUCAUAUCGACGGCGGUGUUUGGCACCUCGAUGUCGGCUCAUCACAUCCUGGGGCUGAAGUCGGUCCCAAGGGUAUGGCUGUUCGCCAUUUAAAGUGGUACGCGAGCUGGGUUUAGAACGUCGUGAGACAGUUCGGUCCCUAUCUGCCGUGGGCGUUGGAAGAUUGAAGGGGGCUGCUCCUAGUACGAGAGGACCGGAGUGGACGAACCUCUGGUGUUCGGGUUGUGUCGCCAGACGCAUUGCCCGGUAGCUAAGUUCGGAAUCGAUAACCGCUGAAAGCAUCUAAGCGGGAAGCGAGCCCUGAGAUGAGUCUUCCCUGAUACUUUAAGUAUCCUAAAGGGUUGUCGGAGACUACGACGUUGAUAGGUCAGGUGUGUAAGUGCUGUGAGGCAUUGAGCUAACUGAUACUAAUUGCCCGUGAGGCUUAACCAUACAACACCCAAGGGGUUU
rnacentral:rRNA from 1 species